UGGGGAAUAUUGCACAAUGGGCGCAAGCCUGAUGCAGCCAUGCCGCGUGUAUGAAGAAGGCCUUCGGGUUGUAAAGUACUUUCAGUCGGGAGGAAGGUGGUAAGGUUAAUAACCUUGGCAAUUGACGUUACCGACAGAAGAAGCACCGGCUAACUCCGUGCCAGCAGCCGCGGUAAUACGGAGGGUGCAAGCGUUAAUCGGAAUUACUGGGCGUAAAGCGCACGCAGGCGGUUGAUUGAGUCAGAUGUGAAAUCCCCGGGCUUAACCCGGGAGUUGCAUCUGAUACUGGUCAGCUAGAGUCUUGUAGAGGGGGGUAGAAUUCCAUGUGUAGCGGUGAAAUGCGUAGAGAUGUGGAGGAGUACCGGUGGCGAAGGCGGCCCCCUGGACAAAGACUGACGCUCAGGUGCGAAAGCGUGGGGAGCAAACAGG
rnacentral:rRNA from 1 species